UGAGGCUGGACUCAUCUAAGAGCAGCGGCACUGACUCUCUCCAAGGGCCCGAUUUAAACGCAGAAAAAUGAAUGUGGAAAAUUCAUCUCGAGCUAAAGUUUGUGGACACUUGGCUCCAGAGUCUGCUUUGUUUCCGAAACAGAUCACACCAGCAUCACGUCGGGCUCCAGCAGGAGCGUGUGAGAGGAGGUCUGUUUUUGUCUUUGGUUAUCUAGCUGUAUGAGUGUUAAAUACCUGUCAUAAAGCUAGAUAACCGAAAGUAGAAAUGACUUCCGUAACGUUGUACUUCAGUAGAGAGAAAGGGGGGAGGACUCCUCUGGCUUUUAAUUCACCAAGGCUCUGAUUUUGACUUUCACCUCGAAAAGGUUUACGAUUAACAACACUGAAUAAUCAGGUUUUCCUGAAAAGAGGAAAGAUCCAUCAUUAAAAGCGAACGAAGAGAGAGAGAGGGGGAAACGCGGUCAGUCCGGAAUUGCCACCUCCUCCUCCUUCCUCUCCCCCUCACCCUUUUUACCCCACAGCCUCUAAUGCCAUCUGUACUGCCAACGGGGGACACUUUGCCCGUGCCAGGAGGCGGACAAAGACCCUGCCGGAUCCCUGGAGUAUGGGCGCGCUCAGAGGAGCCAUCUUGGGAGAUGUUGCCGCAACACCUAAAAUGGCAGGGCUGGCAUACGAGGACGGGACAGGAUCUGUGAGACUCUCUGCACUCUGCAGGAAACUGCUUUGGCACGAGGAGAUUGUGGACCGAACUCAGAGAGAUGCUGUCAUCAGAUUGUUGAGACUCACCAGAGCAUGAACUCUAGAGAUUAUCAGUCAGCUAAACGCUGCAAGAAGAAAUCUAUGUAGAAACAAAAUAUAUGUUGUGUAAAUGUGAAAUGAAUAGCUUAAGAUGUCUGUUAUCCUUGGAAAUACCAAGUUAAUAAUGUAUUUUAAAAGGCUGGAUUAAUGUUUAUAUGAUUAGAUUUUAGAUUUUUUUUUUUAAACUGCAAAUAAAAAAGCCUUAGAUGUUCCUACU